rnacentral:lncRNA from 1 species
AAUAAAUAAAGCACAUAGUCUCAACAAACAAUAGUUAUGACUGUUAUUAUGAUCACUGUUACUAUUCUUGAACAGGCAGUGAAUACAUUGUGCUAACCCUGGACCUGCCAGAUAGGUGUCUUCUGCCUUUCAGAUUCAGGAUGUCUCCCGUAAAGCAAAACAAAAACCUAUCCUGGCCUUCUUGGAUGAUUCAUAAAUGCUUGGUGAACAGUUUUUACUACAUAUUUGUUCCCUGAUAGCCCCUUAGAAGUCUGUGGAACUGGCUGGGCGUGGUGGCUCAUGCAUGUAAUCUCAGCACUUUGAGUGGCAGAGGUGGGCGGAUAACUUGAGGUCAGGAGUUUGAGACCAGCCUGACCAACAUGGUGAAACCCCGUCUCAACUAAAAAUACAAAAAUUAGCCAGGCGUUGUGAUGGGGGUCUGUAAUCUCAGCUACUUGGGAGGCUGAGACAGGAGAAUUGCUUGAACCCAUGAGGCGGAGGUUGCAGUGAGUCGAGAUCGCGCCACUGCACUCCAGCCUGGGUGACAGAGUGAGACUCUGUCUCAAAAAAACAAAAAACAAAAAACAAACAAAAAAAAAACUGUGGAAUAGUUGUCUGAGUCUUUGGGUGUGGGAUACUUAUGCAGCACAGCGGCUUCAAUACUGUGCUCUGAAAUCUCGGGUCUAGUUACUAUGGAAUGGAAAGCUGAGGACAGGGACUAGAAGGAGAUUCUUCAGUAGUUUUUUGAACUCAACUUGUCCAUUCCAGCUAAACUUUAUUUCUUAUGCAACAUAAGUCUAUGAAGGCAAGAUUUUUCUUGGCAGCAUAAUUACUGCUACCUAAUAAGGGAAGAGAAUUUCAUUCUAAAGAUUCCUGCUGUUUUCUCAGCAGGUGGGAACUUUUGCACUCUGCAGCUGCUGGGUGCCAUUACUGUCCGUCCUGGGCUUGCUCUUUCCAUUCUGAGAUGGGAAUGGAAAAAUCCACAGGGAACAACUGGACUGUCCCGGAACUCUUGGACUUUGGGCUACUGUGUGCAUAACCUCGUGGAGGGGUCUGAGCAGCUCUGUCCAUCUACAUGUGAAGGAUCAAAGGGUGCCCCAGGUGUGUCCCUACUGACUCCAUAUAAGGCCCAGGGGAAGUUGUGCUCUGAAGAUAAAGGAAAUUAAGCUUCAGCACCCUUCAGUUGUCAGGGACUAGACCUUUCUAAGACACCAGGCAGAGGACCUAGCAAUGUGUGCAUAUGUUUCUUUUAUAAAUGGCAAAAAUAAGACAUUUUUAUAUUGUUUUCC